GCCGAGAUAGCUCAGUCGGUAGAGCAGAGGACUGAAAAUCCUCGUGUCCCCCGUUCGAUUCGGGGUCUCGGCACCA
rnacentral:tRNA from 1 species